rnacentral:rRNA from 1 species
CUCCUACGGGAGGCAGCAGUGGGGAAUAUUGCACAAUGGAGGAAACUCUGAUGCAGCGAUGCCGCGUGAGGGAAGAAGGUUUUCGGAUUGUAAACCUCUGUGUACAGGGACGAUAAUGACGGUACCUGUUCAGAAAGCUCCGGCUAACUACGUGCCAGCAGCCGCGGUAAUACGUAGGGAGCGAGCGUUGUCCGGAAUUACUGGGUGUAAAGGGAGUGUAGGCGGGACGGCAAGUCAGAUGUGAAAUUUAGGGGCUCAACCCCUGACCUGCAUUUGAAACUGCUGUUCUUGAGUGAAGUAGAGGUAAGCGGAAUUCCUAGUGUAGCGGUGAAAUGCGUAGAUAUUAGGAGGAACAUCAGUGGCGAAGGCGGCUUACUGGGCUUUAACUGACGCUGAGGCUCGAAAGCGUGGGGAGCAAACAGGAUUAGAUACCCUGGUAGUCCACGCCGUAAACGAUGAUUACUAGGUGUGGGGGGACUGACCCCUUCCGUGCCGCAGUAACA